rnacentral:misc_RNA from 1 species
CCAACAUAACAUCCAUGCCAAAAAAAAAGAAUCGUGGAGCAAACCCCUGCAAGUGGCUAAAUUUUUAGCCAAUUGUACUUAUGAGAAACACACUCUUUGGGGUGCACAGAUUCUUGUAUAAUUCUGUGGUAGAAGAUUACUUCACCGGUUUCAUCUUGCACCGCAAAGGGUGGACUUCUGUAUUAUGUAAUCCUUCAAAGCCAGCAUUCUAAGGCAACGCUACCACAAAUUUGAAUGACACUUUAAUUCAAGGAACAAGAUGGAACUAUGGGUUGAUGGAGGUUACCAUCUCAAGGUAUUGUCCUUUCAUUUAUUGGUUAUCAAGAAUGUCUUUGUUUCAAACCAUGUGCUACGGGUAUUUUGCACUCCA